GGUGCUUAGACCACCAUAGUAUUUUGGGGUGCUUCUUUUAGCCUGAAGCAUUCACAAGUAGCUUCCUGCAAGGCAGGGAA